GGGCGUGUAGCUCAGUCGGGAGAGCACUUGGUUCGCAUUCAAGAGGCCACUGGUUCGAUCCCAGUUAGCCCCACCA
rnacentral:tRNA from 1 species